CAGCAUACCCAGUUAAAUGUAAAUUUUAGGUAUAUACUAUGAGCAGGUCUAAAAAGGUGGAAGUAUGAUCUAUACUAUAUUUGGGACAUAAUUAUACUAAACAACUGUCCAAUAUUUACCUAAGAUGAACACUUAACUUAGAAUCCUG
rnacentral:miRNA from 1 species